rnacentral:rRNA from 1 species
UGGUGGCGAUAGCGAAGAGGUCACACCCGUACCCAUACCGAACACGGAAGUUAAGCUCUUCAGCGCCGAUGGUAGUCGGGGGGUUCCCCCUGUGAGAGUAGGACGCCGCCAAGCA